CCUACGGGAGGCGGCAGUGGGGAAUAUUGGACAAUGGGCGAAAGCCUGAUCCAGCAAUGCCGCGUGAGUGAUGAAGGCCUUAGGGUUGUAAAGCUCUUUUACCAGGGAUGAUAAUGACAGUACCUGGAGAAUAAGCUCCGGCUAACUCCGUGCCAGCAGCCGCGGUAAUACGGAGGGAGCUAGCGUUGUUCGGAAUUACUGGGCGUAAAGAGUACGUAGGCGGUGAUUCAAGUCAGAGGUGAAAGCCUGGAGCUCAACUCCAGAACUGCCUUUGAAACUAGAUCGCUAGAAUUGUGGAGAGGUUAGUGGAAUUCCGAGUGUAGAGGUGAAAUUCGUAGAUAUUCGGAAGAACACCAGUGGCGAAGGCGACUAACUGGACACAUAUUGACGCUGAGGUACGAAAGCGUGGGGAGCAAACAGGAUUAGAUACCCUGGUAGUCCACGCCGUAAACGAUGAUAACUAGCUGUUCGGGGUCUACGAUCCUGGAGUGGCGCNGCUACGACAUUAAGUUAUCCGCCGUGGGAGGUACGGUCGCGAGAAGUUAAACGUAACUAAGUAGUUAAGUUAGUAGGUUCGUUGAGACGUUGCCGACGGACGACGACGAGGGAGGAGG
rnacentral:rRNA from 1 species